rnacentral:lncRNA from 1 species
CACACAAACGCAGAGAAACAAGAGAAAGAAAAGUACUGCGAGCUUCUCCCUCCGCUGCAAACACUGAAAGCAAACGGAGACGGGAUUUGGCUUCUACCCCAACAUAAAGCCCUGCCUCUUUUACUUAUUCGCCACCUCCUCCGAGAAAGAGAAGCAAAGAGAGGAUCUAAAGUGGAGAAAGGCAGGUAUUCUACAUCUGGCAUUUGGAGCACAGGGAGCCAGGAAGUGAAAGAUGGUUGUGGUUGCCCGCGCUGGCUGCAGGGCAGCUGUCUUCCUCUGGAUUUUCAGCAGCAUCAGUUGCAGAGCCAGGACUUCUCUGCCUGCUCCAUAGAGGAAUCCCAUGACUUCUGAAACCAAGGAUAAUGAACAGCUCAACCAGGAGAGGUCAUCACAAGAUAAAAAGGAGUAUUGAAAAUAAAUUUUGUAGACUUUUACA